rnacentral:rRNA from 1 species
GACGAACGCUGGCGGCGUGCUUAACACAUGCAAGUCGAACGGUGAAGCGCCUUCCUUUUUGGUGGGUGUGGAUGAGUGGCGAACGGGUGAGUAACACGUGAGUAACCUGCCCCCUUCUUCUGGAUAACCGCAUGAAAGUGUGGCUAAUACGGGAUAUUCUGGGUCUGUCGCAUGAUGGGUCUGGGAAAGAUAUUGUUUCGGUGGGGGAUGGGCUCGCGGCCUAUCAGCUUGUUGGUGGGGUGAUGGCCUACCAAGGCGGUGACGGGUAGCCGGCCUGAGAGGGUGGACGGUCACGCUGGGACUGAGACACGGCCAAGACUCCUACGGGAGGCAGCAGUGGGGAAUAUUGCACAAUGGGCGCAAGCAUGAUGCAGCGACGCCGCGUGAGGGAUGGAGGCCUUCGGGUUGUGAACCUCUUUCGCCAGUGAAGCAGGCCUGCCUCGUUUGUGGGUGGGUUGACGGUAGCUGGAUAAGAAGCGCCGGCUAACUACGUG